rnacentral:rRNA from 1 species
GCAAAGCUCAAAUUUGAAAUCUGGCACCUUCGGUGUCCGAGUUGUAAUUUGAAGAAGGUAACUUUGGAGUUGGCUCUUGUCUAUGUUCCUUGGAACAGGACGUCACAGAGGGUGAGAAUCCCGUGCGAUGAGAUGCCCAAUUCUAUGUAAAGUGCUUUCGAAGAGUCGAGUUGUUUGGGAAUGCAGCUCUAAGUGGGUGGUAAAUUCCAUCUAAAGCUAAAUAUUGGCGAGAGACCGAUAGCGAACAAGUACAGUGAUGGAAAGAUGAAAAGAACUUUGAAAAGAGAGUGAAAAAGUACGUGAAAUUGUUGAAAGGGAAGGGCUUGAGAUCAGACUUGGUAUUUUGCAAGCCUUACCUUCGUGGUGGGGUCCCCUGCAGUUUACUGGGCCAGCAUCGGUUUGGAUGGUAGGAUAAUGACUUGGGAAUGUGACUUUGCUUCGGUAAAGUGUUAUAGCCCUUGUUGAUACUGCCUGUCUAGACCGAGGACUGCGUCUUUGACUAGGAUGCUGGCAUAAUGAUCUUAAGUCGCCCGUC